UCUUGGGCAAUGGGCGCAAGCCUGACCCAGCGACGCCGCGUGAGGGAUGAAGGCCUUCGGGUCGUAAACCUCUUUCAGGAGGGAAGAAGCCGCGCAAGCGGUGACGGUACCUCCAAAAGAAGCCCCGGCUAACUACGUGCCAGCAGCCGCGGUAAGACGUAGGGGGCGAGCGUUGUCCGGAUUUACUGGGCGUAAAGCGCGUGCAGGCGGCCCGUUCCGUCCCGUGUGAAAGCCUCCGGCUCAACCGGAGGAGGUCGCGGGAUACUGGCGGGCUUGAGGAAGGCAGAGGAUGGUAGAAUUCCCGGUGUAGCGGUGAAAUGCGUAGAUAUCGGGAGGAAUGCCAGUGGCGAAGGCGGCCAUCUGGGCCUUCUCUGACGCUGAGACGCGAAAGCUGGGGGAGCAAAC
rnacentral:rRNA from 1 species